GAUGAAGAACGCAGCGAAAUGCGAUAAGUAAUGUGAAUUGCAGAAUUCAGUGAAUCAUCGAAUCUUUGAACGCACAUUGCGCCCGUCAGUAUUCUGGCGGGCAUGCCUGUUCGAGCGUCAUUACGCCCCUCAAGUCCCCUGUGGACUUGGUGUUGGGGAUCGGCGAGGCUGGUUUUCCAGCACAGCCGUCCCUUAAAUUAAUUGGCGGUCUCGCCGUGGCUCUCCUCUGCGCAGUAGUAAAACACUCGCAACAGGAGCCCGGCGCGGUCCACUGCCGUAAAACCCCCCAACUUUUUAUAGUUGACCUCGAAUCAGGUAGGACUACCCGCUGAACUUAAGCAUAUCAAUAAGCGGAGGA
rnacentral:misc_RNA from 1 species